AGUGGAAUAGCUGGGUCAAAUGGUGGUUCCAUUCCAGGUUUUCCAAGGAAUCUCCAUACUGCUUUCCACAUUGGUUGCACCAAUUUUCAGUUCCACCAGCAAU
rnacentral:pre_miRNA from 1 species